AGGCAUGCAUGUCGAGCGAGAACGGGGAGCAAUCCCUUAGUAAAGCGGCACACGGGUCAGUAAUGCGUGGAUAACUUGCCCUCGAGACUGGGAUAACGGCGGGAAACUGCCGCUAAUACCGGAUGGCCUCGCGGACCGGCAUCGGACUGCGAGUAAAGGUGGGGACCGAAAGGCCUGCCGCUCAAGGAGAGGUUCACGACCUAUCAGCUAGUUGGCGAGGUAACGGCUCACCAAGGCGACGACGGGUAGGCGGGCUGAGAGGCUGACCGCCGACACUGGGACUGAGAACUGCCCAGACUCCUACGGGAGGCUGCAGUCGAGAAUCUUCCACAAUGGACGCAAGUCUGAUGGAGCGACGCCGCGUGUGGGAUGAAGGUCUUUGGAUUGUAGACCACUGUCACGCGUUAUGAAUGCGCGGCAGCGAAUACCUGCCGCGUUGACAAAGGCGCGAGAGGAAGCCACGGCUAACUCUGUGCCAGCAGCCGCGGUAAUACAGAGGUGGCAAGCGUUGCUCGGUAUCACUGGGCUUAAAGGGCGCGUAGGCGGUGCGGUGCGGUUUCGGUGAAAUCCCUCGGCCCAACCGAGGAACAGCCGGGGCUACGGCCGCGCUAGACGGCAUCAGGGGACAGUGGAACUCCCGGUGGAGCGGUGAAAUGCGUAGAUAUCGGGAGGAACGCCGGUGGCGAAAGCGACUGUCUGGGGUGCCUGUGACGCUGAGGCGCGAAAGCCAGGGGAUCAAACGGGAUUAGAUACCCCGGUAGUCCUGGCCCUAAACGAUGCGCACUAGGUAGCGGGGGAUUCCGAUUUCCCGCUGCCGGAGUAAAAAUCUUAAGUGCGCCGCCUGGGGAGUAC
rnacentral:rRNA from 1 species